CCGUGAAGCUGGAUUCGCUAGUAAUCGCGCAUCAGCCAUGGCGCGGUGAAUACGUUCCCGGGCCUUGUACACACCGCCCGUCAAGCCAUGGAAGCCGGGGGCGCUUGAAGUGCGUUGCCGCAAGGCGCGCCCUAGAGCGAAACCGGUGACUGGGGCUAAGUCGUAACAAGGUACC
rnacentral:rRNA from 1 species